rnacentral:lncRNA from 1 species
CCACAAUCUAUUUAUAAGCGACGUAAUGAGAAAAUAAAAUUCAGUUUGUUAUUGGAGUCCGUCGAGUGCACAUCUCUGCAGUGUUUCGACACGAAAUUACAUUGAUAGAAAAAUAUAAAAGCAGAGGAGUAACCAAACAAAAGAGUAACAGAACAGAAAAGUAAUCAAACAGAGCAGUAACCAAACAAAGGAGUAACAGAACAGAGAAGUAAUCGAACAGGCCAGUAACCAAACAAAGGAGUAACAGAACAGAGAAGUAA